rnacentral:tRNA from 1 species
GACCACGUAGAAUAUGGCCCGCAACGGACUUUUAAUCCGUGGGUCGUGGGUUCGAUCCCCACUGGGCCCACCC